rnacentral:tRNA from 1 species
GACCGGUAGCGCAGGGUCUGUGGUGCAGUCGCCGUUGGGGGCGGCGAUCGGCCAUGCGGCGGCCGUUCUGGUGACGCCGGCGCUCCC